rnacentral:rRNA from 1 species
AGCAGGCGCGCAAAUUACCCAAUCCCGACACGGGGAGGUAGUGACAAUAAAUAACAAUACGGGGUUCUUUAGGAUCUCGUAAUUGGAAUGAGUACAAUUUAAAUCUCUUAACGAGGAACAAUUGGAGGGCAAGUCUGGUGCCAGCAGCCGCGGUAAUUCCAGCUCCAAUAGCGUAUAUUAAGUUGUUGCAGUUAAAAAGCUCGUAGUUGAAUUUCGGGGUUAGUAGGUUGGUCAUGCCUCUGGUAUGUACUGGUCUCACUGAUUCCUCCUUCCUGAUGAACCGUAAUGCCAUUAAUUUGGUGUUGCGGGGAAUUUGGACUGUUACUUUGAAAAAAUUAGAGUGUUUAAAGCAAGCUAACGCUUGAAUACAUUAGCAUGGAAUAAUGAAAUAGGACGUUCGAUCCUAUUUUGUUGGUUUCUAGGAUUGACGUAAUGAUUAAUAGGGAUAGUUGGGGGCAUUAGUAUUCAAUUGUCAGAGGUGAAAUUCUUGGAUUUAUUGAAGACUAACUACUGCGAAAGCAUUUGCCAAGGAUGUUUUCAUUAAUCAAGAACGAAAGUUAGGGGAUCGAAGACGAUCAGAUACCGUCGUAGUCUUAACCAUAAACUAUGCCGACUAGGGAUCGGAUGAUGUUAAUUUUUUAAUGACUCAUUCGGCGCCUUACGGGAAACCAAAGUGUUUGGGUU